GGUAAUAGCUCAAUGGUGGGGCAUCUGCUUCAUAUGCAGAAGGUCCCAUGUUCAAUCCUUGGCAUCUCCA